ensembl:lncRNA
CCUUAUCGGAGUGCCUGUGUAUGAAUAAAGUUUGUCUCUUACAGAUACACUUACAUCAUGUCUUGCUGUCUUAUGCAGUGGAGUCUGGAGCUUCGCCAGCAUGCAGUGAACCAGAGAAGUGGAGAGACGUCCCAGCGGCCCACAGCUCUGACAACACCCUUCUAUCCCCCUCUGAAAUCUUUAUUUACUGCCCCCGCACUCCUGCUCCCUCGCCAGGGCAAUUAAAGCACUGCUGUGUCAGACGGGGAAAGACUGAAAUGGAAAGGGAUACCUUGAAUGCAAUAAAACCAUCCUGGCUAGUCCAAACAUUGGAGCGAUUCUCGGGUUUCAGACCCCCACCUUGUCUUCUGUGCCGAGUUCAGCCAGGCUCCUGGUCAGAAACACACACACAUCUAAUUCGAGUUCGAAGAUUUGCGAAUAACCCGAAUGGGAUCAAAUUAAAAUUCCAAGACGGGAGGAAAAAAGCAAUAUGGGGUUUGAAAGUGGCCCCUGCUUCUUUAAGCUGGAUUUAA